rnacentral:lncRNA from 1 species
UUUAUUUACAUCUAAUGCAAAUAAAAACAAUCCACGCAUAACAAAUAUAAUUAAACUGGUGAUGAUCAUGGAUCUUAGAAGUGGAUUCAGACUUGAGCCACUGAGUCGGAAUCGGGGUCUUAGGGUCAUAAAUUACAAGCACACACACGUCAUUGGUUUGAUUGUCUUCAACUUCUUGAUCCGAUCUGGAACUUCAACUUGAUUUGAUCCUUAUCAACACCUUGAUCCGACCACCAUCAAGUAUUCGUCUCUAUCCGGACCAUGCAAACUUUUAGGCUUGCAACCGAUCAACCAAUGACGUGCAACCAUACAUUAUACAACCCAAUAAAAAGAAUGAAAUAAAAAUUAAUUACAUUUGAUAACUUUUAUCUCUAACCUAUUGAGACACACAAGUCUCCAAAUAAAUCAGCUUGUACACGCAGGCACAAAUAUAGCCAUCACUAAUACAAAAUCCUUAAUUUAAACAAAUUUAAGAUUACAGGAUUCUGCAUACACAUCAUACAUCACAUGUCGAAACGAAAAUAAAUAGGUUGCUAUCCAUGAUCAUCACCGUAUCUCAUACAUCACAUGCAUAAUAAUAAAUUUUGGAUAUUCUAAUUAACCAUUAACCGAUGAUUCGAAAAAAUAAAUUAUUAAAAAUAAUCAAUCUUAUUGAUUAUUAUAAUUUUGAUCAACAAUUUAAUCUACAAAAAUAACAUCUUGAUCUCAUCAAGAAAUCAAUUUGAUCUAAUCAAAUUAGAUCUAUCUAUUCAUUAUCUAAAUCGAUCUAAUAAUAAAAAGAAGAAAAAGAAAAGAAAAAAAAAAUUCAUACUUCCGUACGGACGCUACAGUAGCGUCCGUACGAGCGUCCGUACGGACUGCUACAGUAAACCGUACUGACGCUACAGUAGCGUCCGUACGGAUGCUACAGUAGUUUUUUUUUUUAUUAUUAUUACGAGAAAUCGUCGAUUAAAUUGUUCAAUCAAUUUGAUUUUACGAAUCAUCCAAACAACAAUCUAUAAAUCGUUCGAUCGUCGAAAAACGGUUUAGAAUACCCAAAUUCAUAAUUUUAAUCUUAAAAACAUGAGGAUGGCUCUAAUACCACUGUUAGAAAAUUGCGUACGGUAAAACGCAGCGGAAAAAGAAAUCAAACAAAUUUAAUUUUUGAAAACUUUCGAGAUCCAAUCUUAAAACCACGCAAUUAGGAUCCCUCAUGUUCUUUAAGAUUAAAGAAGAAAAACAAGAUCGAAUAUUUACCUUUUUCGCGGAUAGAUCUUCCCCUCAAUAUGAUGAUCAUGUAAUUCGGUUCUCUUGAAGCCGCACACUCGUUCGGCCUCUAUAGGUAUCCACACGAGGUUCUUGAUUUGAUCGAUGUCCUCACCGGGGUGCUAGCUCCCUUGCAAAAGGACGUCUUUCUUGCUAGAAGAUGGAAGAGAGAAGAGAGGAUAGAUGACGGCUAGGGUUU